GAAAUUUAGCAUUUCUGUUAACAGCGCAGGCGUGAGCUGCAACAGCUGGCGGCCGCACGUGGAGCCAGGCACAGCUGUGAAUGUGAAAAUGUUUAGCCCCCAAACUCGAGAACACGAUGAAACAUGUUUCGGCCGGCUCCACUGCAGCUCCACUCGGAAGCUACGCAUUCAAUUUCGUGAAGCGAGAGGCGCUACAACAAAACGUAUCGUCAGCGGGUGUUUUUUUUUUUGCAAUCUCUGAAGCUUGGAGCAAACAACGUAAGAUGAUGCUGUGAAAUGUGCGCAAAACAGUAAAAACAAUCGACAGAAUAUUGAAAUCAAACUUAUAAACAAAAACCAAAACUGUUUUACUGCGAGAGUGUGAGCGCGCGUGCGACACUGGAAGAGCUCGUGCCUUCGUUACCCGCUCUGUGUGCGUGAAAGUGACAGCCUGAUAAAAAUAAACCGCAAUUUGCAUGAAACUUACUGUUUAUUGCUUUGAUUUUUGUGAUUUGCGUCGUACAGCCCCCCGCUGCCGGCGCUGGGUAAUGGUAAUCAAUAAACAAAGGCAAAAACUAUAAGUCACCGCCAUAACUGUAAGCACACACACUGUGUAAGCCAGCCUAGUACCGUGUUGUUUUUUGGGUGAAUGUGCAAACAAAGUGGAAAUCCAAAAGCCGGCCAGUAGUACAAAACACACACACACACACACACACACAAACACAGACGCGCAAAAAAAGUAAAAGCCCUUUCCCCGAUAAGCCUCCUCUCGCAAGCAGCUGUUAUUGUUGCCUAUGAUGGUCGGAACGGGGUCAAAAGUUCGUGUCUUGGCCUGUUAUAUCCCCCGCUAAUUCAACCACACUCUCAUUCAGACACACACUCACACACACACGACACAGAGAACAGAGAACAGAGAAAGGAGAAGAGAAGUGUUCCUCAAGUGCAGGCAGAGACGCAGCAAAGACAGAGCGUCGCCCCGUCUGGCAGACAAAGCAUUAGACAAGUGCCGGUCCAGGCCCAGGCCCAGGCCCAGGCCCACCGAAAGCCGAGACAAACUAGGCCAAUACGCGAGAAAGCAGCCUAAACCAGGGGAGGAGCAGAAGUGCAAGCCCAAGACCAGAGGCGGAGAAAAAGUGCCAGAAGUCUGAAACGAAAGACCAGUGGAAGCCUAAGACUUGCAGAACAUAACGGAGCAGAGGAGAGCAGAGCAGAGGAGAGCAGAGGAGGGGAGAGGAGAGGAGGAGCAUUGCAAUUCUCAACCGACGAAAGAGCAGUGGAGAAGGGGGAGUACCAGUACCCCCCAAAAAAAAACAGACUGCAACACACACACACACACAGACACACACACACAUCUACAAUAUAUAAUAAAGACAAAAGUGAAAAGUUUUCUCUGUCUCGCUCACUCACUCUUUGGCCAUUUGUCAAUGACUGUGACUGUGUGGAGUGUGGAGUGACUUCUCGCGUGACUUCCAUCCGACAUCCAAGGCCCGCAUCCGUGUCCCGUGCCCCGUGUCCUGUGUCUAUGGCUACAGGGGGAAACACGCGGAAGUGGAUAAACUGCUGAAACAGAAACAGACUCCCAGGACAAGGACUACUCCAAAACAGGACCACUCGCGCGGCCACAAUUCGUGCAGCGGAGGACGAGCCUGGCCAUAAAACAGAGGCGGCAAAUAGGAAAAGCCAAACGACAAGCAUCCAGCAUCCAACAUCCAACAUCCAGCAUCCAGUCUUUGUCUGCCCUGUCUGGGUCCCUGGCAAUUGGCCAAGUUAAUAGAGAAAACCGGAGCCGGGAGGCCCGAUAAUGACGUUGCUGCAGCUGCAGCCGCUGCUUCUGCUUCUGGUUCUGGCUCUGGUUUCGCCUCCAACCCAAUGAUGAUGCUGCUAACUUGGUUAUUGCUGCCGGCAUAGACAAAAACACAGACACAGACGCAGAAACAGCAACAGAAACAGAGCCACAGAGCCAGACGCAGGCACAGACACAGACACAGCGAGAGACGAGAGACGAGAAGAACAAAAAGAAAUAAAGCUAGCCCACCCCCCAAUCGGCAGCCUUCGGCCAGGACCAGGCCUUCGUCCAGGCUUACUGCAUUUCCGCUUGUUGUUCCUGUCGCCGCCAUCAUCCAGAAGCGUGGCCAUCGCCAUGCCACUCCACAUGGCGCACAGCAUCUGCGUGGCCUGGGCGAUGCUCCUCGUCGUUAUUGUGAUGAGCGAUAUGACAAAUGGCGGCGUGCAGGGCCCCAUCGAGGGCUACAACUCGCUGGAAGAGAUGAUGAUGACAACGACAGACAGGGCCCAGGCAGCCAUGCUCCUACCCACCGCGCCCACUGUCGCUUACACGCAUCCCAAAUGGAUGGAGCCAUAUUUCGAUCCCUCGACGCCGCGCAAUGUCACCGCCCUCAUGGGCAAGAACGCCUAUCUCAGCUGCCGUGUGCGCAAUUUGGCCAACAAAACGGUAUCGUGGAUACGGCACCGCGAUAUACAUAUACUGACUGUCGGCUCGUACACCUACACCUCCGAUCAGCGGUUUCAGGCCACCCACCACCAGGACACCGACGACUGGACGCUGCAGAUAAAGUGGGCCCAGAAGCGGGAUGCGGGCAUGUACGAGUGCCAGAUAUCGACGCAGCCGGUUCGCAGUUAUUUCGUCCGUCUGAAUGUUGUCGUGCCAACGGCUACCAUCCUGGGAGGACCUGACCUUCACGUUGAUAAAGGCAGCACCAUAAAUCUCACUUGCACUGUAAAGUUCAGCCCCGAACCACCGGCCUACAUCUUCUGGUAUCAUCACGAGGAGGUCAUUAAUUAUGAUUCAUCAAGAGGCGGCGUGUCGGUAAUUACCGAAAAGGGCGAUGUGACAACCUCAUUUCUGCUCAUACAGAAUGCAGAUCUGGCCGAUUCGGGCAAAUACUCCUGUGCUCCUUCCAACGCAGAUGUGGCCAGCGUGCGUGUCCAUGUCCUAAAUGUUCGGGCCAUAAUUUCAGGUGAACAUCCGGAGGCAAUGCAAACAGGCUCAUCCGGUUGUCAGGUCAAUUGGCUGACAAUUGUCCUGCUGCUGGGCCUCGUCCUGUGCUACAGUAAGCAGUGCACAGCCGCACUGCCAUCUCCGUUGCCAGGGUUAGCAACAGCAAUAGCAAGUGCAUCCAGUGAAAGCACAACUGCCACAUCGAGGAAACGCUGCCCUGCGGUCGCCAGCUGCCGCCAAGCCGCAAGCCACGCCAACACCCAGGCCCAGGUCCAGGUCAAACGCCACUGUCACAGAUGAUCGAAUGGAGGCGACACAGGCGGACAGCAGCAACAACAGCAGCAGCAGCAGAAGCAGUAAAUGCGACAGCAGCAACAACCACAACUAUCUAGUGUAAUUUAAGGAGACACAUGAAAUGUGUUAGUGUGUGAAGCAAUUACAACAUAUGUAUAUCUGAGAAACGAUUCCUAUUUACCGAGAUCAACCGAUGGAAGCUGCUAUAGGAUCUAUCCAAACCAGAAAUUCAACAAUGCUGCGGUGGGCGGUGCACUACAGAGCGGAGAAAUGGCAAUGGCACUGGCAUUGCCACUAGCAGUGGCGCUGGGUGGUUGAAGUAAAAUGUGGCUCACUUAUUGGGCCAAUCUCAUUUAAUGCUCGCCACUUUUGCGGCCAACAAAGCAGAAAUACUCGUAGUGGGGAGUGGCACGAGAGCAGAAAGUAAAAAGUAAUAAGGGUAGUGGUAUGGGUAAGGGUAGAGGUAGAGUAAGGGAGAGUAGAAAUACUCGAAAAUUUAACCAAAAUAUUUCUGUUUGCAUAUUUGCACUCCAUUCCCAGAUAAUUGUUUUCGCUAGGUCGACAAUAGAAAUAAAUUCUGGCAACAAUUGCCACAACCAGCAGCCCUGGGGAGCGCUGCCUGUGCUUUUGUGUGAGUGGGCCACUUGUAAUUGCAACUAUAAUUUGUAAAAAUUAUCGCCAAUGUUAUGAAUGCAUUUCAUUUUGCCAGACCGGCGCGCCCGCCGAUGCUCAAUUCUAAUGGAACACACGGCGUAUGCGUGAUAUCAAUAUGAACACAUUCUGCAUUCAGGACGACCCUUGAAGCGGCGAUAAAUGCAAUGUUUCCAUAAUUUAUGAAUCGCAACGGACAGAUGGGGCAAAUAUUUGCUAGCACUUUUCGUGCAUUACAUGACUAAAGCGGAAUAAAGCAAAAGGGGACUGGACUCCGAACAGAUGUCGCAAAAACUUUAAACUCCAACUGGAAUCUAAUCCUGCAGCCAGCUGCACUCAAACUCACCCGCCAAUCGAGAAAAUCCUGCACAAAAUGUUCACAAGCCAUUCAAGCACUUUGACAAAACAACUCGAGCUGACCUCGCCCGCACCCCGACACGCUUCAAUAGUCUUGGUUCCAGCACCCAAUCCUUGUCGCAUUCCUGGUCGUGGCCCAUUCAGUGAGUGUUUGGAUGGCAGGAAAUUUUUGUUUGACUCUCAAGUGGUUAUUGUUGUCAGGCCCGUCAUAAUGCAGAGACGGGCGACACGGCGGUAUAGCGAUGAUACGAGAUAUGCGAUACGUGGCAUGAUAAAUGAUGGCGCUCUCUAAAUAAGGCUUAGUGCCAGACUCCAAUCAACGCACUUAGCGUUGAGUGGGCUUACUCUGGUCGGAUGGAUGAUUUCAAUGCGAGUCUGAGAGCCACUUGUUGUCGUCUCCAAAUGAAGCGGCGCCGUUGACACAACAGGAGCCCAACCACUUGCAGCAUCAGUGAUAGCAGGUCGUCCCACAUGUGCAGGACUUGUGCGAGCAUGAACUUCCUUCCACUUCCGGCAACUAGUGGCGAGAAGCUUACUCCCGACAACAUCCUGAUGAAAUCAGCCUGAAACCUUGAACCUUAUUCAGUUUCUACGAAUACAGCCGAAGCUAUAUGUAUCAAACUUAUCCACUACAGAAAGAAGAGAGAAAGAAAGAGAAAAGAUAUACAUAUAGACAUACGCGGUGACACCAGAUAUACACCCUGUAUAAGGGCAAUUCCGCUAAAAUGUCCACCAUGCCAAAAAACCUUAAACGUCACUUCCAUAUACUUUUGUCCAGAUAUUGAAAGCUUAGUUUAAGUAGUUUUAGUUUUCAUUACCGUUGAUUACAGAACCUAUUCAAA